rnacentral:rRNA from 1 species
AUUGAACGCUGGCGGCAGGCUUAACACAUGCAAGUCGAGCGAGCGGCGGACGGGUGAGUAAUGUCUGGGAAACUGCCUGAUGGAGGGGGCUAAAUACUGGAAACGGUAGCUAAUACCGCAUACCAUCAGAUGUGCCCAGAUGGGAUUAGCUAGUAGGUGGGGUAAUGGCUCACCUAGGCGACGAUCCCUAGCUGGUCUGAGAGGAUGACCGGCCACACGGGAACGUAGACAGGGUCCAGCCUCCUACGGUAGGCAGCAGUGGGGAAUAUUGCACAAUGGGCGCAAGCCGGAUGCAGCCAUGCCGCGUGUGUGAAGAAGGCCUUCGGGUUGUAAAGCUCUUUCAGCGGGGAGGCGUUACUCGCAGAGGAAGCACCGGCUAACUCCGUGCCAGCAGCCGCGGUAAUUC